UACGGAGGGUGCGAACGUUAAUCGGAAUCACUGGGCGUAAAGCGCGCGUAGGCGGUCUGUUAAGUGGGAUGUGAAAUCCCCGGGCUUAACCUGGGAAUUGCAUUUCAAACUGGCCGACUAGAGUACGGUAGAGGGAGGUAGAAUUUCCUGUGUAGCGGUGAAAUGCGUAGAUAUAGGAAGGAAUACCAGUGGCGAAAGGCGGCCUCCUGGAUCGAUACUGACGCUGAGGCGCGAAAGCGUGGGGAGCAAACAGG
rnacentral:rRNA from 1 species